UACGUAGGGGGCUGGCGUUGUCCGGAAUCAUUGGGCGUAAAGAGCGUGUAGGCGGUCCGGUAAGUCCGCUGUGAAAGUCGGGGGCUCAACCUCGAAUGCCGGUGGAUACUGUCGGGCUAGAGUGCGGAAGAGGCGAGUGGAAUUCUGGUGUAGCGGUGAAAUGCGCAGAUAUCAGGAGGAACACCAAUUGCGAAGGCAGCUCGCUGGGACGUACUGACACUGAGACGCGAAAGCGUGGGGAGCGAACAGG
rnacentral:rRNA from 1 species